GGGCGUGUGGCUCAGUUGGUAGAGCGUUCGCUUAGCAGCUUUAUUUCCUCCUUUCUUCCUCUAAAAAGAAGGUACUCAGUGAGUGAAACUGGAAACAAAUACCUGCGAAAGGUCCUGGGUUCGAUUCCCAGCUCGUCCA